rnacentral:rRNA from 1 species
GUGGGGAAUAUUGGACAAUGGGCGCAAGCCUGAUCCAGCAAUGCCGCGUGCAGGAAGAAGGCCUUCGGGUUGUAAACUGCUUUUGUACGGAACGAAACGGUCCUGGUUAAUACCUGGGGCUAAUGACGGUACCGUAAGAAUAAGCACCGGCUAACUACGUGCCAGCAGCCGCGGUAAUACGUAGGGUGCGAGCGUUAAUCGGAAUUACUGGGCGUAAAGCGUGCGCAGGCGGUGCUGUAAGACAGGCGUGAAAUCCCCGGGCUCAACCUGGGAAUUGCGCUUGUGACUGCAGUGCUGGAGUACGGCAGAGGGGGAUGGAAUUCCGCGUGUAGCAGUGAAAUGCGUAGAUAUGCGGAGGAACACCGAUGGCGAAGGCAGUCCCCUGGGCCUGUACUGACGCUCAUGCACGAAAGCGUGGGGAGCAAACAGGAUUAGAUACCCCGGUAGUCC